GACAGAGGGGGCAAGCGUUGCUCGGAAUUACUGGGCGUAAAGGGCGCGUAGGCGGGCUGGCAAGUCGGUCGUGAAAUCCCUCGGCUCAACUGAGGAUCGUCGAUCGAUACUGCCGUUCUUGAGGAUUGCAGAGGAGACUGGAAUUCUCGGUGUAGCGGUGAAAUGCGUAGAUAUCGAGAGGAACACCUGCGGCGAAGGCGGGUUGCCGGGCUGACACUGACGCUGAUGCGCGAAAGCCAGGGGAGCGAACGGG
rnacentral:rRNA from 1 species